rfam:Trachymyrmex cornetzi contig36842, whole genome shotgun sequence.
AAAAUGGAUUCACUUGAAUCCACUUAAUCAUUUCAAAGUUAUUUACU